rnacentral:snoRNA from 1 species
GUUCUGUGACGAGUAACAACGACAAGCAUAUGGCUGAGUGUUCCUUGAUGUCACCUCCUCUCUGAGAAC